GCCUGCAUGAAGCUGGAAUUGCUAGUAAUCGCGGAUCAGCAUGCCGCGGUGAAUACGUUCCCGGGCCUUGUACACACCGCCCGUCACACCAUGAGAGUCGGGAACACCCGAAGUCCGUAGUCUAACCCGCAAGGGAGGGCGCGGCCGAAGGUGGGUCCGGUAAUUGGGGUGAAGUCGUAACAAGGUAUC
rnacentral:rRNA from 1 species